ACGCACGCUGGCGGCGUGCUUAACACAUGCAAGUCGAACGGGCCCGCCCCUGUUUUUGGGGGUGGGUUGAGUGGCGAACGGGUGAGUAUCACGUGAGUAACCUGCCCCCUGCUCCUGGAUAACUGCUUGAAAGGGCGGCUAAUACGGGGUGUGCCGGCUGGUCCGCAUGGGCCGGGUCGGGAUAGUCUCAUCUUCGGGUGUUUCGGUGGGGGAUGGGCUCGCGGCCUAUCAGCUUGUUGGUGGGGUGAUGGCCCACCAAGGCGGUGGCGGGUAGCCGGCCUGGGAGGGUGCGCGGCCGAGAGGGGACUGAGGCACGGCCGGGGCUCCUGCGGGAGGCGGCGGUGGGGGGUGUUGCACGAUGGGAGGAAGCCUGAUGCAGCGGCGGCGCGUGAGGGGUGGAGGCCUUCGGGUAGUGAACCUCUUUCUCCGGUGGUGAAGGCCCUGUCCGUUGCGGCGGGGUUGACGGUAGCCGGGUAUGAAGCGCCGGCUAACUACGUG
rnacentral:rRNA from 1 species